CACACUCCGGUCCAGUCAUACUCAACUGAGCGGACCAGACAUCACUCUGUUUCACUCUGCGUGUCAUACACAUUAACUGAAGAAUCAAAGCAUGAAACGCAGGCAGUUGUUGCUUUCUCUGCCUCUCUUACCCACCAUUACUGAGACGCUGGAGGACUUGCCUGUCCAUCCAUCAUCCUCCCAGUCUACCCAGGGCUCCCAAUCUCUAGAGGAGUACAUGACCAGUAUCCAGGCCCUCGCCCGCCCUGUUGAGGCCCCGAGCUGCGGCCCCGUCAGACUCCAGAGGUCCCCCAGGCUACGCCAGUUCUCAAAGGCUCAGAUGAAGCUUUCUGUCUCAGCCUCGCUUCCUCGCGGCUCUCCCCGCGCACUAAGGACUUCCAGACCUUCCAGUCUGAGUCUAAACAGCACAGAGGAUUUUUCUCUCAAGAUGGGCAGAGAACGAGACAGCAAGGGCAAAGACCCCAUGGACUGGCUGUUUGGACAGAUAAGGACUUGAAGGGAGACGUUGUUGCCGUGUCCUGUCGGCACUUUGGUGGAAUAUCUCACAAUGAAACAAGGCUGGAAGAACCUGCUCUUUGUAUGAGGAUUAAAACAGAGCACCGUAUGAAGGGACUUACAACGAUGUCUGAGCAAAGACGAAAUCACCAUAUGUGAAGAUCUAUUUAUUUCUAUGCACUGAGGACUGAAGUCUACGUGUUUACAUUGUUUAAUAUUUUGUAAAGAUGUAAAGGAUAUAGUUUGUAAUAAAAUACUAAAAUAACCAUGAA